GAAACAUCACUGCAGUGGCAGAGAGCCGGUUGAGGAGGCCUGGAACUGUGGGAACGUGUUCUGCGCCAGCUGCUGUGAUCAGAAGGUGUCGGGUCAGCAGCUCCGUGAGGCCGGUCACGUGUGUCAGGCGUGUUACGGUCACCUGCGUCCCUCCGCCGUCCCUCCAGCGCUGCCCCCUGCUGACCUGGAGCUGGAGAAACCCAUCACCGCCAGCUCCAACUGAGCUUCAGAGCACGCUCAGAAGUGCACUUCCUGAAAACAUCUCUAAUGUUCUCUUAAGGCGAGACACUGCUUCCUCACGCAGCUGAUCGACCGCAGACACGUAAUGCAAGGUUAGCUUUAAAUAUGCAAAGAAUGCAUUUUUAAUAGUUUUCAAAAUGUGUUUUUGACGCGUGUGAUCCUGGAGCACAGAGGAUCCUCAGCAGCGCAGAAAUGAUCAAAUUUUAUCUUACGCCAAAAAUCAUUAGGAUGUUAAGAUCAUAUUACUCAUAUUUGGUAAAUUUCCUACCAUAAGUAUAUCAAAACUUCAUUUCUGAUUAGUAAUAUGCACUGCUAAGUACUUGAUUUGAACAGCUUUAAAGCUGAUUUUCUCAAUAUUUAGUUUUUUUUGCUUCCUCAGAUUCCAGACAGUUGUAUCUCAGGCAGAGAUCGUUCGAUCACGAAAGAUCAUUUAUUCAUCUUUCACAUGAUUUCUCUUUCUCGGUCUUUUGUGCUCCUGGGUCACAUGUUAGACUCUAAAGUCUUUACUGAGGGAAUUGUACUUAGAACAGACAGAAAGCUAUAUAUCUGGACAGUUUUGAUGGGAAUCAAGCAAAUUAUAAACGAACAAAUUCCUCAGUAAACAGAAACAGUGUCUCGCUUUAAGACGACAACAAACGAGCGUCUUCCUUCCCAAAGAUUCAGAUUCACCUCAAGAUUUAAGUUAAAGUAUUUAAGACAAAUUCCGAGACGAAUAUAUGAUGAAAUUAUUGUACUAAAGCCGAGAAAAUAAGGUUUGUAGAUAUUAAGGAGUCAAGUUAUGUUUACAUGCGGCUUCUCUGAGAAAUAUUGCUCUAGCCAGUCGUUCUAAUCUUCACCUUUAAGACGUCUCCUGGGAGUUUUUAGCUUUGGGCGAUUCACAGGAAUAUUCUUCAGAAACGAUUAGCGCAUUAGUUCAAAAGAAUCAAUAAAAUGGUAUGAAAGCCAAGACAUGAUCCGUGAACAUAGUAAUACGUUUCUUAAGAUCAGUUCCAGGAGGUUGGUAAGAUUCACGGACAUCUCCUGACUCUGUCUUCAUUUCGUGAGUUCUAGUGAUUCAUGGAAAUAUUCUUGAGAACAUAUUUCUUAAAAUAAAUUGCAAAGUUUUAACAGUUCACAAAAAUCUUUUGAACAUUUAAUUUGAUUCCCGUGAAUGUUCUUAGAAAAGACGCUUCUUAAGAUUUUUGUAAAUUCCAAACUUUAUGGAAUAGAAGUCGUUUCUUUCAUAGGAUUCACUUAAAUUCAGUUCUGAGGAUGUGUCAUAUUUACUGAAUACUGCAGAAAACGCUCAAAUCAAAACUUUAUUCAUUAUAUAAGGGUCUGUGUUUGACCAGUUUAUGACCAACUGUUACUAAAUUUCAAUAAAUCUUUUAAGGAAAUAUUUAGUGCUGUCAAACUAUGAUUAAUUACAUGCAAAAUAAGCUCUUGUUUACAUGUGUGUGUGUGUGUUUUUAUAUAUAUAUAUAUACACACACAAACAUGCAUGUAUAUAUUUAUAUAUUAAAUAUGAUAGAAAUAGAAAUAUUCUGUAUAUAUAUACAGACGUAUGCUCCACACACACACACUUAUAUAACGUAAACAAAAGCUUUGGUUUUGGAUGCGAUCGAUCAUUUGACAGCACUAAUUUAAAAAAAUCAUAAGAAACAUCUACAAGAACAGAAAAUACUCUCGGCUUUCAACACGAGGAGAAAGCACCGGGAAUGUUUUUAUGUGCGAGUCGGUCCCCGAGCCGCUCUUUUGAUCAGUUUCCUGCGGUCAUGCUGCAAAAAGACUGAACGGCUCCGAGAGGAAGUGGAGGACGACGGAGCUCAGCGAGAACUUCCUGUAGGACACCUCUCUUAGGAUCUGCUUCUCCGGAGCCGUGCACUCGAAUCUGUGUCCAGACGGACUGAACGAUGAAUCCAGCAAUACUCCACGGGAUCAGAGGAAACCUCCCACAAUCCUCUCUGUGUCAGAGCCGCCGCGCUUGUGUGAAUGACAUUAAAGCACAACUCACUGCCAA